rnacentral:tRNA from 1 species
UUAAUCGAAACCAAACUAGAGGUAUAUUACUGUUAAUAAUAAAAUUGAAUUUUCCGAUUAAA